rnacentral:rRNA from 1 species
UGCGGAGGGUGCAAGCGUUAUCCGGAUUCACUGGGUUUAAAGGGUGCGUAGGUGGGCAAGUAAGUCAGUGGUGAAAUCUCCUGGCUUAACCCGGAAACUGCCAUUGAUACUAUUUGUCUUGAAUACUGUGGAGGUCAGCGGAAUAUGUCAUGUAGCGGUGAAAUGCUUAGAUAUGACAUAGAACACCAAUUGCGAAGGCAGCUCACUACACAAUCAUUGACGCUGAGGCACGAAAGCGUGGGGAUCAAACAGG